UACGAAGGGGGCUAGCGUUGCUCGGAAUCACUGGGCGUAAAGCGCACGUAGGCGGCUUUCUAAGUCAGGGGUGAAAUCCUGGAGCUCAACUCCAGAACUGCCUUUGAUACUGGAGAGCUUGAGUCCGGGAGAGGUGAGUGGAACUCCGAGUGUAGAGGUGAAAUUCAUAGAUAUUCGGAAGAACACCAGUGGCGAAGGCGGCUCACUGGCCCGGUACUGACGCUGAGGUGCGAAAGCGUGGGGAGCAAACAGG
rnacentral:rRNA from 1 species